AGAGGCCAUGCCUAUGCCUCAGGGGCCUGCCCUUUGGUUAACAAAGGGAAGUUUCCACCGAAUUUUAAGGAUAGACACUGGCCUGGCACCACCCCACUUUGCCCUGAACAGGACACUCACAUUAUGGCAAAAGCACUGCAGUGGAAAACACACGUGCACACACAAGCAAAUGAAAUGAAAGAUAGUCAGGACUCUGUGGAUGGUGCAAACGCAGGAGCUCAGCCCCAACACUGGCGAGAGACUGGAACCUGGGACGGUGGCAGUAGACGAAGGGUCUCUGCAAUCCAACAGCAAGAAUGUUUUGGAAGCCUGGGCAUUAUGUACCCUCCUGCAAGAGGCACUUUCAGCACAAGGAAGAACUCUGGAAGGCAUUUCAGAGAGAUCACCUCACUUGUCCCGCGUCCUCUGCUCAGACUGCUCCUAAAACGGCCUGGGCUGAUAGCAGUUGUCGUUCCCUGAAUCAUUUCCAGAAGGUGAUGCUAUAGCCUCUCAGCAGCCAGUAUUUAAUAACCUUAAGCAUCUGGAAAUCCUUCCUUAUUUUCCAACCAAAAUCCUUCCUGAUGCAAUUGCAAGUCAUUUCCUCUCAGUGCUCAGGAAAGGGAAACCAGAUGGUCAGUGCCCCACAUGAAAUAACUUUUAAUAAA